rnacentral:rRNA from 1 species
GACGAACGCUGGCGGCGUGCCUAAUACAUGCAAGUCGAGCGAAUGACGAGAAGCUUGCUUCUCUGAUUUAGCGGCGGACGGGUGAGUAACACGUGGGCAACCUGCCCUACAGAUUGGGAUAACUCAGGGAAACCUGGGCUAAUACCGGAUAAUACUUCGAAUCACAUGUUUUGAAGUUGAAAGGCGCUUCGGCGUCACUGUAGGAUGGGCCCGCGGUGCAUUAGCUAGUUGGUGGGGUAACGGCCUACCAAGGCAACAAUGCAUAGCCGACCUGAGAGGGUGAUCGGCCACAUUGGGACUGAGACACGGCCUAAACUCCUACGGGAGGCAGCAGUAGGGAAUCUUCCACAAUGGACGAAAGUCUGAUGGAGCAACGCCGCGUGAGUGAUGGAGGUUUUCGGAUCGUAAAACUCUGUUGUAAGGGAAGAACAAGUACGUUAGGAAAUGAACGUACCUUGACGGUACCUUAUUAGAAAGCCACGGCUAACUACGUGCCAGCCGCCGCCGUAA